rnacentral:rRNA from 1 species
UGUCCUACGGGAGGCAGCAGUGGGGAAUAUUGCACAAUGGGGGGAACCCUGAUGCAGCGACGCCGCGUGAGUGAAGAAGUAUUUCGGUAUGUAAAGCUCUAUCAGCAGGGAAGAAAAUGACGGUACCUGACUAAGAAGCCCCGGCUAACUACGUGCCAGCAGCCGCGGUAGUACGUAGGGGGCAAGCGUUAUCCGGAUUUACUGGGUGUAAAGGGAGCGUAGACGGAAAGGCAAGUCAGAAGUGAAAACCCAAGGCUCAACCAUGGGACUGCUUUUGAAACUCUCAA